GACGAAUGAUGGCGGGGGGGGGAACACAUGCAAGUCGAACGGAAAGGCCCUGCUUUUGUGGGGUGCUCGAGUGGCGAACGGGUGAGUAACACGUGAGUAACCUGCCCUUGACUUUGGGAUAACUUCAGGAAACUGGGGCUAAUACCGGAUAGGAGCUCCUGCUGCAUGGUGGGGGUUGGAAAGUUUCGGCGGUUGGGGAUGGACUCGCGGCUUAUCAGCUUGUUGGUGGGGUAGUGGCUUACCAAGGCUUUGACGGGUAGCCGGCCUGAGAGGGUGACCGGCCACAUUGGGACUGAGAUACGGCCCAGACUCCUACGGGAGGCAGCAGUGGGGAAUAUUGCACAAUGGGCGGAAGCCUGAUGCAGCAACGCCGCGUGCGGGAUGACGGCCUUCGGGUUGUAAACCGCUUUCGCCUGUGACGAAGCGUGAGUGACGGUAAUGGGUAAAGAAGCACCGGCUAACUACGUG
rnacentral:rRNA from 1 species